rnacentral:rRNA from 1 species
UACGAAGGGGGCGAGCGUUGUUCGGAAUUACUGGGCGUAAAGGGUGCGUAGGCGGCCAUGUAAGUAGGGUGUGAAAUCCCCCGGCUUAACCGGGGAACUGCGCCCUAAACUGUAUGGCUGGAGUGAGAUAGGGGUGUGUGGAACUUCCGGUGGAGCGGUGAAAUGUGUUGAUAUCGGAAGGAACGCCGGUGGCGAAAGCGACACACUGGGUCUCAACUGACGCUGAGGCACGAAAAGCCAGGGGAGCGAACGGGGAUUAGAAAACCCCCUGUG